rnacentral:rRNA from 1 species
ACACUCCUGCGGGAGGCAGCAGUGGGGAAUUUUGGACAAUGGGCGAAAGCCUGAUCCAGCAAUGCCGCGUGAGUGAAGAAGGCCUUCGGGUUGUAAAGCUCUUUUGUCAGGGAAGAAACGGUGAAAGCUAAUAUCUUUUGCUAAUGACGGUACCUGAAGAAUAAGCACCGGCUAACUACGUGCCAGCAGCCGCGGUAAUACGUAGGGUGCAAGCGUUAAUCGGAAUUACUGGGCGUAAAGCGUGCGCAGGCGGUUUUGUAAGUCUGAUGUGAAAUCCCCGGGCUCAACCUGGGAAUUGCAUUGGAGACUGCAAGGCUAGAAUCUGGCAGAGGGGGGUAGAAUUCCACGUGUAGCAGUGAAAUGCGUAGAUAUGUGGAGGAACACCGAUGGCGAAGGCAGCCCCUUGGGUCAAGAUUGACGCUCAUGCACGAAAGCGUGGGGAGCAAACAGGAUUAGAUACCCCGGUAGUCCCAUGAU